UUUUGGUUAUAAAUAAUUGUUAGUGGCAGACGGGUGAGUAAUGCGUAGGAAUCUACCUAGUAGUAUGGAAUAGCCAUUAGAAAUGAUGGGUAAUACUGUAUAAUCCCUGCGGGGGAAAGAUUUAUCGCUAUUAGAUGAGCCUACGUUAGAUUAGCUAGUUGGUAAGGUAAUGGCUUACCAAGGCUAUGAUCUAUAGCUGGUCUGAGAGGACGAUCAGCCACACUGGAACUGAGAUACGGUCCAGACUCCUACGGGAGGCAGCAGUGGGGAAUAUUGGACAAUGGGCGAAAGCCUGAUCCAGCUAUGCCGCGUGAGUGAAGAAGGCCUUCGGGUUGUAAAACUCUUUCAAUAGGGAA
rnacentral:rRNA from 1 species